CCUCACUAGUUAUAAAUAAAGUAAAUGUAACUAUAUUUCAGAAAUUUAUUUCAUGUCAUAUUGUUUGUUUUAGAGAUAUGUAUGUAUAUAUAAUAAUAUUAAUAAAUAUAAUUAUACUAAGUGGGAACUUUUUCUACAAAUUCUCUCUUGGGCUUUAAGAUUUAACCAUGAUUCAAUAAUAUAAGGUUGUGUUGAUAGCCCAAAAACAGCAACUUGUCAAAAGGGUUUUUAUUCAUAAUGUCAAAAUCAGCUUUCACAUUAAUCAAAAAAUAAAAUACACCAAAAUAAUAAUAAAAAAAUUAGUGUGUCAAGUACAUUUGCAGCGAUUGUUAUGGAAGAUGAGUUGAAUGCAGAAGAAGCUAUUGGUUGCGGUGUGAAUUUAUGAAAUGGGCCCCACCAGUUUAUCUAGCUUGAGAAAUACUGUGGACAACUUUUUUCCUAAUGAAAGCCUUCUAAUCCGUCCAAACCUGAUUAGCUUAAGAAAACUUUUUUAGAAUAGCAAAAUUAUUAGUUUAUGUGGUUUUCAAUGAGGCAAUAGUUUUCUCGGCAUUGAUCUUUUUAACAGUUGUUACUAGAUUUUAUAAUAUCCUUGAACAUAUACUUUUAGGCAAACCCAACGUAUGCAAAUUGCUCAAAUGUAUUACCAAAAUAAUGACUCACAUCGCGCCCUUCUUCCAAUAUUCGAUCAGUUGGGGAUUCGAGCAAUCAUGGAUCGGCUUCGCACCACUUUUCCUCUAGUUGAGAAUACGCAUCCUCAGGGACGCCGUACAGUGUACAUCGAAAACACUAUUGCUACUGUGGACCAUUUUAUCGAAGAAAACCCCAAUGAUUUCAUUCGCCAUCGCGCUUAACAAUAGGAGCUGUGCCCAUUUGCUUUAAGGAAGACUUCGCGGAAGGAUCUUGGUUUGCGGGCUUACAAAAUCCAACUCGUGCAAAUAUUGAAGCCGAACGACCAUCAACCAAAUUGCAGCAAAAAGAGGCCUUUCGGCUGAAAUUUAUUCAAGCCAUCCGCGGAGGUCACUUGCCCGAAAUCAUUUUUAUAACAUAAUGGCGCAUCCUUAUACAUAAAUUAUAUAAGCGGCUUAUUUCUUCAUACCGAUUCCUUCCAAAGCGCAUCGACUUUAUUUUUGUCACCCUUCAUAAAGCCUUGGGCGAUGUUCCUAUGAGCUUCCAUGAAUCGCAUAUUGAUUGUAUACUGCUCUGCGUUCUAAUCAAUUUACCAUUUUAAAUAUUUUUUCUGCAUAAUUUUAGCACUUUAGUUUACUUAAAUGUUUGCGCACACCAAAUUCACACAACUGAUUUUAAAUGAGUAACAACCGAAUAUUUUCUUGAGAAUUCGCUUUUCAGAACACUCAUUUUCAACCGAAAUUCAAUUUGAAAAAAAAUGUGAAAAUUGAAUAAUGAAGGUGAGAUAUAGAACACCAAAUGUCGAAUUGAAAGUGGAUUUGCUUGAAAUUCACUCGGAAGUGAAUCACAGAAUUUUUUGAUUUCAUGAUUAAAUACUAAAUUUUUCAAUUAAUUCAAAGGUGUCUUUUGAGUGAUAACUGAUUCCGAAAAGAUUGUAAAUCAUAAAAUCAUCAAAAUGUACGCAAGAAAUUCAUAAAAACAAAAACAAAAAAGUUUUUGGACAUCGGGGAUUAAAUUUUUCGUAAGAGGAAGCACGCUCUGAGUUUUGACAGUAGUGAUAACCAAAGAUGUGGUGAUUGCUGCCCGACACGUUCGAACGUUCAAAAUUAACUUGGUUUGAAUCACAAAAUUUCCCUCGAAUCCGGAAUAUAAGGCCUGUUGACUAUACCAAAUACACAAAAAAAAAUGAUUGAAAUACACAAAAUUAUUAAGAUAACUCAUUCUAUCGGUAGCCCGGUUGAGGUUCUUGUUCACAAUAAAAAUAAAAAGAGUGUAUCAGUACGUCCUAAAAGGCGCGGUCAAGUUAUUGUUGAUAACUCAAAUGGGGAAUCGGCGGAGCGCUAGUUACCAGACAGAAAAAUUAAGGCAAUAUAUCGGCAUUGAAUAACUUAAUGAUAACUGGCCAAUAUUGUAUAUUUGUAUUUUGAAUUGUAAUAAAAAUUGUUUUGUUCUUCUGAUUAAUUUUUGCACAAAAUUUGAAGUAUACAAUUUCUUCACAUUAACGUAAAAUCUUUUGCUCGGUUAAGAAAAGUCAACAACUGAAAUUUUAACAUUUUGUUUGAUUACCAUAUCAUUUGUCUGGCAGCAUAGCAAAUGAUUUACUUGGGUUACCCAUAUUAUGGGAACCAAACAAACGAUUGUAAUUUGAAAUUUCAGUACAAUUUUUUACAUUUCUUAACUUGAAAGCAAAGGUAGCCACCGUAGAUAACAUAUGUAUAUACGUCAAGUAGCAUGUUAAAUAUUGUAACGAUCUACCUUUUGUAAAAAUUGGGUACAAACUUGCAUUCAUUUAUUUUAAAAUAUAUAUAUAGUAUUACGAUACUUUAACAAUUACCAUAAAAA